CCUACGGGCGGCAGCAGUGAGGAAUAUUGGUCAAUGGACGAGAGUCUGAACCAGUCAAGUAGCGUGAAGGAUGACUGCCCUAUGGGUUGUAAACUUCUUUUAUAUGGGAAUAAAGUGUUCCACGUGUGGGAUUUUGUAUGUACCAUAUGAAUAAGGAUCGGCUAACUCCGUGCCAGCAGCCGCGGUAAUACGGAGGAUCCGAGCGUUAUCCGGAUUUAUUGGGUUUAAAGGGUGCGUAGGUGGAUUGUUAAGUCAGUUGUGAAAGUUUGCGGCUCAACCGUAGAAUUGCAGUUGAAACUGGGAGUCUUGAGUACAGUAGAGGUAGGCGGAAUUCGUGGUGUAGCGGUGAAAUGCUUAGAUAUCACGCAGAACUCCGAUUGCGAAGGCAGCUCACUGGGCUGCAACUGACACUGAGGCUCGAAAGUGUGGGUAUCAAACAGGAUUAGAUACCCCAGUAGUC
rnacentral:rRNA from 1 species